AAAAACUAUAGCCGACGAAAUAUAGUCUGUUUCGUCGGCUAAAACCCUUAUAAAAAAAAAUUAAAAAAAUAACUAUAACCGACGAAAUAUAGUCUGUUUCGUCGGCUAAACCUUAUAAAAAAAUUUUAAAAAUAACUAUAGCCGACGAAACAUGCCAUAAUUCNNNNNNNNNNNNNNNNNNNNCGGCUAAAACCUUAUAAAAAAAAAUAUUAAAAAAAAUAACUAUAACCGACGAAAUAUAGUCUGUUUCGUCGGCUAAACCUUAUAAAAAAAUUUUAAAAAUAACUAUAGCCGACGAAACAUGCCAUAAUUCGUCGGCUAAACCUUAUAAAAAAAAUUAAAAAAUACUAUAGCCGACGAAUAUAGUGUUUAAAUAUAGUGUUUGAAAAAAAAAACUGCAGAAACUUUCGGCCACCUCCAAUCACCACCAAGAUUUGAUAGAAUCUUCCUCUCAACAUUUCGAACAACUUUCUAGAAGAAGUCGAAGCCCAAUUCUAAGCCUAAAUAGGUCAAUUGAAUCAAAAUAUAAAAAUCCCCAACUUUAAACCCUAAAAACUUCAAAUCUUCGAUUCUCCUCACACACACCGAAUCGAGCUACCAAAUUCUAGGGGAAUGUAGUACUAAUCAAACUCAACUUAUCCAUAUAUAGAACUCACCAAAUGGUGACCUGAGGAAGGAGAAAUUCGAUUGACACCGAAUCCAAACCGGCGGAGUUUUGGAGCUCAAUAUAUCUCUCACGGCAGCGCCACUCGAUGCAUCACCUGUCCAGCAAUGAAAUAGAGACUACGGCGAAGCUUUUGGGACAAGUGUCGCGGUCUCUGGUUGCUGAACGGCGGAUCUAGGCCGAGAAGAAAAUCCGGAACUUUUUCUGAUUUUCUGAUUUUCUGACUUCUUACCAUCCACCUCCGAUAAAACUUCUAUAUAAAGAACUUUACCCGACGAAAUUCUUUAUUUUCAUCGGCUAAACUCUUUUGAAAAUUUUGGUUGACCUCCAAAAAAAUUUGGUUGAAAAUUUGAAAAUUUUUGACAAUAGCCGACGAGAUUUUGAAUAUUUUCGUCGGCUAAAGUCCUUUGAAAAUUUUCCUCCAAAUUUGGUUUACCGCCAAAAAAAUUUGACCUUGGCCGACGACUUUUUUAAUAUCUCGUCGGCUAAAGUCUAUAAAUUCACGAAAACGCUCAUAUCUCCCUCUAUAUUACGUAGUUUGGUCAAACCUUCCACACGAAAAACUUUCACGUAGAUGAGACGCAACCGCCUAUAUAAAAAUUUUGAGACAUUUACCUUCCAACGAUAAGGCUCCCCAUAAGGAAUAAUAACGGUAAAUAGGGUUGACCGCUACUAUCGGCACCGAGACGUUACCCGAUUUACAUGUUUUUUGAACCAUAGCCGUAUUUCACCAUUAUGAACACAUUUUAUUUCACGAGAUUUUUGAUAAUUUUGCUUCCUAUGUAGAGUUGGUUCACAAAGUUGUAUAACCUACUAAACAAGUUAUAUAACAUUAGUAGAGACAUUGUGAUUCCGAUGACUAAAAUUCACAAACCAAAAUUUGACCGUCAUAUAUGAUCAUUAUGACGAAAGAUGUCUAUGGUAAAAAAUUCAACUGGAUCCGACAACGUUAAGGGCUCGAUCGAAACGGUCAAUCAUAAUCCAUCGUCACUUAUCACACGAAAACGCUCAUAUCUCCCUCUAUAUUACAUAGUUUGGUCAAACCUUCCACAUGAAAAACUCUCACGUAGAUGAGACGCAACUGCCCAUAUAAAAUUUUUGAGACAUUUACCUUCCGACGAUAGGGCUCACCAUAGGGAAUAAUAACGGUAAAUAGGUUGACCGCUACUAUCGGCACCGAGACGUUACCCAGUUUACGUGAUUUUUGAACCAUUGCCGUAUUUCAUCAUUCUGAACACAUUUUAUUUCACAAGAUUUUUGAUAAUUUUGCUUCCUAUGUUUUAUAACCUACUAAACUAAUUAUACAACAUUAGUAGAGACGUUGUGAUUCCGAUGACUAAAAUUCACAAACCAAAAUUCGACCAUCAGAUAUGAUCAUUAUGACAAAAGAUGUCUCUGGUAAAAAUUCAACUGGAUUCGACAACGUUAAUGGCUCGAUCGAAAUGGUCAACUCUAAUCGGAAAUAAGAAAACUGCAUUUUGAAAGCCCUAAACAGACUCGGAUGGCCAAAAAGGCCCAAAUGUCAUGGCAAAGCGAUGAGUUUGACUCGUAGAGCCGUUACGCUUCCGAAAAGGUAUCACAAUAAUCAAUCAGACACCAAACGCCAAAUCUGCAGCAUAGUUAAUAAUAAGGGUAAAUUGCAUUGACCGCAACUAUCGGCACCAAGACUUUACUGGAAUACCGAGAUUUUUCAACCGUAGACGUAUUUCACCAUUCUGGUCAUAUCUUAUUUCACGACUUUUUUGCGUUUGAAGGUUCUACGUUUAGUUUUUUUUCCCAGAUGAGUUGUUGUCUAGAUCUGCAAAUAUAAGGCACUUUAGCCGACGAAAUUAUAUUUUUCGUCGGCUAAACUUUUAAAAAUUUCGUCGGCUAAAGUUCACAGACUAUAGCCGACGAAAAAAAUUAUUCAGACGACGAAAUUAAAAUUUCGUCGUCUAAAGUUGACCAAAGCCAACGAAAAUUUAAAUUAGCCGACGAAGGAAAAUUUCGUCGGCUAAAAUCCACGUUAGCCGACGAAAAAAUAAUUCGUCGGCCUGGUUUUUUUAUUUUUGUCGGCUAAAGCCUUUCUCCUGGUAGUGUCACUACCAGGACAAGCACUUUAGCCGACGAAAAAUUUUCGUCGGCCUGUCAACUUAAUUCGUCGGCUAAGAGCUUAGCCGACGACCUUUCGUCGGCUAAGAUUUCGGCGGGAAAAGGUCGUCUGUGGUGACUUUAGCCGACGACACAUGUAGAAGUCGUCGGCUAUAGUCCAGAGUUUAGCUGACGAAAAAAAUGUCGUCGGCUAUAGUCCAAACUUUAGACGACGAAAAAAUGUCGUCGGGUAUAGUCCAAACUUUAGCCGACGAAAAAAAUUUAAGGUAUUCGUCGGCUAUAGUCUAGAGUUUAGCCGACGAAAAACAUGUCGUCGGUUAUUUCUCCGACUUUAGCCAACGAAUAAUUUAAAAUAUUCGUCGGCUAAAGUUUGUAAAUAAAAAACAAAAAACAUCUAUAGCCGACGAAAUAUAGUCUAUUUCGUCGGCUUUAUAGGGAUUUAGCCGACGAAUUAAAGCGUAUUUCGUCGGCUAAAAUUUAAUUUAAAAAAAAAAAAAAACUUUAGCGGACGAAUUAAGGCGUUUUUCGUCGGCUAUAAGUCCAUUCCAGUAAAAAAAAAAAAACCCCGAAAUUUCUGAAUUACCAUUUCAAGGAAGCUGCAAAAUACACCAAAACAAUUCCAUAUAACCAACAACAAGCACAUAAAACUAUAUAAUUCAUUCAUCAACUACAGAAAAUCUAAAUCGUCUAAAUUAAUAUCCACUUCUGGGGGCUGCUGCGGAGGUUGCGGCGGCUGGGGUAGCGGUAUGGGCGGAGGCAUGGGCGGAGCCAGAAGUCCCUGAAGCUGAGCAGCUGUAAAGUCCUGCAUGUACUGGAACAUCUGCUGCUGCUGGGCCUGCUGGAUGGCAUGUAUCUCGGCAACAUAGGCUGCCUACGCGGCAUUAUAGGCUGCCUGCGAGGCAUUAUAGGCUGCCUGAGCAGCUUGCUGUUCUCGUAGUCUCUGAACUUUCGACUCUAGCUGAGUCGUCCUGGUGGUCGUGGACGUGGUCCUGCUGCUAGUCGAGGCUGCCUUUCGUUGAAAUCCUGGAGUGGUCUUCAGGAUCCCCCUCGCCUUUCUUUCCUAGACCUCGGCAGUAGAAGUUGUUUGCUCUCGGUGGGAAAGCUGUGCCCAUGAUCCUCGCCCCAAUCGUCGGAUCCGAAAUGUCGAUCCGGGACAUGGCUUCGGACAUCUCUUCCUCCUGCGUGUCCGGCCAUGUCUCCCUCGCUAUAGCACUCAUCACCUCGUCACUAGCCUCCCUCACCUUCGCCUAUAUGGAUAGGAAAAAUAUUAUUAAUUAACAUUUUGACAUAUAUAUAAGUAAAUUUAAAAAUUUAAAAACGUAAGAUGACUUACAAUAUCCUCUUGGGAGUCAGGAUAUGUCUUCUCGUACGUAUAGACGUACCAGUUGACUUCUGGAUGUUCCCUGGCCGCCUCGUCCAUGAAGACAGCAAACGGUCUAGAACCGCCAUGAUGGUUCCUUGUGUUGCGUUGCCGGUUCUGAGAGUUCGCUCGGGAAACGGCCUUCAAAGAAAAAAAUAAAUUAUUAGUAAAAUAUUUAAAAACGGACGUACUUAAUGACAAAUUAACUAAUUAAUUUUUUUAAAUACCUGUUUACGAGGGUUGUUGAAUUCUGAUGUCAGAAGCCAACGCCACUCGUACUCCCUGUACUGGAACUCAGCAGGGGUACCAGAACGUGCGUUCCCGUCGCGUAGUCCAGUGGGUCCN
rnacentral:lncRNA from 1 species